rnacentral:rRNA from 1 species
CCUACGGGUGGCAGCAGUGGGGAAUAUUGCACAAUGGGGGAAACCCUGAUGCAGCGACGCCGCGUGAGUGAAGAAGUAUUUCGGUAUGUAAAGCUCUAUCAGCAGGGAAGAAAAUGACGGUACCUGAUUCAGAAGCCCCGGCUACCUACGUGCCAGCAGCCGCGGUAAUACGUAGGGGGCAAGCGUUAUCAGGAUUUACUGGGGGUAAAGGGAGCGUAGUCGGCAGCACAAGUCUGGCGUGAAAUGCCGGGGCUUAACCCCGGAACUGCUGUGGAAAAUGUCCAGCUAGAGUGCAGGAGAGGUAAGUGGAAUGCGUAGUGUAGCGGUGAAAUGCGUAGAUAUUAGGAGGAACACCAGUGGCGAAGGCGGCUUACUGGACUGUAACUGACGUUGAGGCUCGAAAGCGUGGGGAGCGAACAGGAUUAGAUACCCUUGUAGUC